rnacentral:rRNA from 1 species
UGGGGAAUUUUGGACAAUGGGCGAAAGCCUGAUCCAGCAAUGCCGCGUGUGUGAAGAAGGCCUUCGGGUUGUAAAGCACUUUUGUCCGGAAAGAAAUCCUUGGCUCUAAUACAGUCGGGGGAUGACGGUACCGGAAGAAUAAGCACCGGCUAACUACGUGCCAGCAGCCGCGGUAAUACGUAGGGUGCAAGCGCUAAUCGGAAUUACUGGGCGUAAAGCGUGCGCAGGCGGUUUGCUAAGACCGAUGUGAAAUCCCCGGGCUCAACCUGGGAACUGCAUUGGUGACUGGCAGGCUAGAGUAUGGCAGAGGGGGGUAGAAUUCCACGUGUAGCAGUGAAAUGCGUAGAGAUGUGGAGGAAUACCGAUGGCGAAGGCAGCCCCCUGGGCCAAAUACUGACGCUCAUGCACGAAAGCGUGGGGAGCAAAACAGGAUUAGAUACCCUGGUAGUCCACGCCCUAAACGAUGUCAACUAGUUGUUGGGGAUUCAUUUCCUUAGUAACGUAGCUAACGCGUGAAGUUGACCGCCUGGGGAGUACGGUCGCAAGAUUAAAACUCAAAGGAAUUGAC